rnacentral:lncRNA from 1 species
UUUGUAUGUGCAUAUAUGAGCAGGCAGAGAGAUACAGAAAAACACACACCAGAGUAUUAAUAUUGCUUACCCAAAUGGGUUGGAUUAGGGAAUGGGGAGAGGGAAUAUUAAUAUUUUAAACAUAACUUUCAUAUGUUUUUAUGUGUUAUGAUGAACAUAUAUUACCUUUGCAAUGUACAUGACCUAAUUUAGAAAACUAUAUAUCAAAACUGAAUUUUCAUAUUUUAGAAAAUUGUCCAAAAGCUGUGAAAGCAUUCUGUUUUAAAUUACUAAUAGAUAGUAUAUAGGUAUCCUCUAUUAUCUACCUUGCAGUACUUCCAUGACACUGAUAAUUUUCUACCCUGUGUUUCAUAGCAUGAAUGUUCCCUGGGACUUUUGGCAACAAAAAUGUUCCUAGAGUCCUUUUGACAGAGCCUUGUCCUCUCGUAGAAGAGAGGUUUCCAGAUCUCUUCCUAUUUGGAAUUUCACAGCGCUGUGGUCAGCCUGAGCAAAUAAGAAUAUUGAUAGGCUUGAAAGGCAAGAACCUCUUCAGAGAAUGAACUUCAUUAGUCACUAACCCAAGAUCCCAUCAGCUGAGACAGAAUUUCCAGAGCAAAGGGAAGUGAGAGGUUCCCCCUGCCAUGCAACUUUGCAUCAUUCUAGAAAACAACUUUCAUUUAAAUUCAAACU